GCAGUCAGGCUAGCAGCAUCAUCAUCAUCAUCAUCAGUGUUUCUAUUUGACGAAAACGGUGGCUACUGUCACGGCAGGCGGCUUUGUCAUAUAAGAAGAGGGGCGUAGGUACUAUUUAAACGAAAACUAUCCAUUUUUUCUGUUUAUGAAAGGAAGGAAGGAACCAAGUAGACAAGAAGAUGUUGCGUCGUCAUCUAUUUUUUUUAGAAUAUUUGGUUUGAACUGGUCUUGGCGGCAUAACAACGCCUAUUUCCACCACAUCAAGUCGUCGUCUGAGGUUCCCCUUCAUGACGGAAAUUCACUUCCAUAUCAUCUGAGAGACUUGAUAACCUGUUUUGUUAUAAAUGAUCGCUGAUAAUAUGUGAAGGAACACGUUUUCUUCAUAUCAAGUUAAUUUUCCUCAAUAACAUCCUCUAGAUUCUUCCUCAGAAAAACCUUCCUUCCUUCGUCAGUAUUGAUUAGCAUUAGGAUUUUGGGAAUGCAUGUUGUUUAUUGGUACUACAUGGAACAUUACCAAUAGCAACUCUUAAAGUGUAUGAGGCAACAGUGAAUUAUUGUAUGCAUAUUUAACAAAUUUAAACAACAAUAAAAUUUGUUUUGAAUAUUGGAUUCAUACAUCAGAUGUGAAAUCUGGUUGUAGUCCUUCAAGGUAUUGUACUUAAUUUUUAACAGAUUUAUUCAGUAAUUAUUUGUAAACAAUUUUGUUGGAAGAGUUGGGAAUUGAACACAUUGUCAUUACAGAACAGGACAGGACACAAGGCUAAAAUGAAUCCAGAACAUUCUUUAGAAUUUCCUUUGAAAAGUGAAACUAAAGGUGCAUUAUCACUACCUUCCAUAAAUCAAGAAACCAGCAACAUGGCUGCCUUUAGUGGAACCAGUGUUGGAGACUUUUGGUCCCUGGAUCCAUUGAUGGACAUCAAAAUAGAGCCAGAGGAAUUCUGUGAGUCUAAUGAAGAUGAUGAAUAUUCAUAUGAAAUGAAUUCAAUAGUGAAUGAAAAACAUCCACAAACUUGCAGAAAGGAAAUAAAACAAGAAAGAAGGAUCCGUGACGAUGGAGAGAAGCCUUUCAUAUCCACUGACUGUGAGAAAGCAUUGUACAAGAAAAUUAAUCUUACAAAUGAUAUCACAAAUCCUACCAGAGAGAGAUUCAUCUGCAAUGACUGUGGGAAAGCAUUUUCCUUGAAACUUAGUCUCAUAGCUCAUAUGAAAAUCCAU